rnacentral:rRNA from 1 species
CAGUAGCCGCGGUAAUACGUAGGGUGCGAGCGUUAAUCGGAAUUACUGGGCGUAAAGCGUGCGCAGGCGGUUGUGUAAGACAGGUGUGAAAUCCCCGGGCUUAACCUGGGAACUGCGCUUGUGACUGCACAGCUAGAGUAUGGCAGAGGGGGGUGGAAUUCCACGUGUAGCAGUGAAAUGCGUAGAGAUGUGGAGGAACACCGAUGGCGAAGGCAGCCCCCUGGGCCAAUACAGACGCUCAUGCACGAAAGCGUGGGGAGCAAACAGGAUUAGAUACCCCCGUAGUCCCUGUCUCUUAUAU